CGUAGGUGGCAGCCAUAGAAAGGCCGAUGAAGGGAGCGUACAGAAGAUGGAGAGAAAAAAGCUAGAAGCUGACGAGGAAGGCGGAAAAAUACAAGGCAGACGCCACCAAGAGGGCAGCCGCGGCCAAAGGCGACAACCUAAGAAGAGCACCAUCUCAACCACCAACAUCAAUCGAUCACACAAACCGCAAAACAAAACUACAAAAGGAAGCCGCAUCUGCGCAAACACGAGGGACCCAU